rnacentral:rRNA from 1 species
GUGGGGAAUCUUCCGCAAUGGACGAAAGUCUGACGGAGCAACGCCGCGUGAGUGAAGAAGGUUUUCGGAUCGUAAAGCUCUUUCGUUAGGGACGAACGUGCUCUUUGUGAAUAAUGAGGAGUAAUGACGGUACCUAAAUAAGAAGCCACGGCUAACUACGUGCCAGCAGCCGCGGUAAUACGUAGGUGGCAAGCGUUGUCCGGAAUUAUUGGGCGUAAAGCGCGCGCAGGCGGGAUAUCAAGUCUGUCUUAAAAGUGCGAGGCUCAACCUCGUGAGGGGACAGAAACUGGUAUUCUUGAGUGUCGGAGAGGAAAGUGGCAUUCCAAGUGUAGCGGUGAAAUGCGUAGAGAUUUGGAAGAACACCAGUGGCGAAGGCGACUUUCUGGACGAUGUCUGACGCUGAGGCGCGAAAGCUAGGGGAGCGAACGGGAUUAGAAACCCGAGUAGUCC